rnacentral:rRNA from 1 species
UACAGAGGUCCCAAGCGUUGUUCGGAUUCACUGGGCGUAAAGGGUGCGUAGGUGGCCAGGUAAGUUUGGUGUGAAAGCUCGGAGCUUAACGCCGAAAAGUCAUUGAAUACUAUCUGGCUGGAGGGUCGGAGGGGAGACUGGAAUUCUCGGUGUAGCAGUGAAAUGCGUAGAUAUCGAGAGGAACACCAGUGGCGAAGGCGGCUACCUGGACCGGUUCUGACGCUGAGGCGCGAAAGCGUGGGUAGCAAACGAGGA